AUUUAUGAAGUAAAUUUUACAUUCAAUUUCGGCUUGAAAAUUUGUUAUUAUAUUAACCAUUUAAU
rnacentral:tRNA from 1 species